GUCAAUUACUUCUCGUGAAAAAAGCUGUGUUCUUCAUAGCUGCGUGGAACAAGGUAUAAAAUACGUAAGGUAUACUAAUAGGGCAUGUUUUGAUUAGUGGACAGUAGAUAGUUUAUGAAUUAUGAUUGUAUAUGUGUUUCGGUAGGUUCCUUGUUUUAAGUUUUGAAAAUAUAGAAAGGAAAAUAUUGGGACCGACAUAAUAUUGACGUCAAAAAAAUUCCAUGCUAAUUUAGGUUUACCGACAAUUAAUCAUGUCGUAAUUCUUUUGGUCUUAGAUCAAUGGCUUGUGGAAACAUGUGAUAGCAGUCUAACACUAUAUUAGCAGUUUAGCACUCGAUGCUGCAUUGCACUUGCACACUUCUGUAACUGUAACUGUAAUCUGUUAUACUUAAUACACUAAUUAACUACUGUCAUUAUUUUGACUUUGAUUAUACUUAAAUCAUACCAUAGCUUUGGACCUAGCUAGAGUUGAUUCUCUUUCUAUAUUUGUGUGUUUGUUAUGGGCUACAUCGACUAGGCUACAAUAUUUAUAGGUAGGGACAAAACAAACUAAAUUCCAAAAAUUCCCUAGAAUCCUGAUAAACAAGUGGAUCCAAUAAUGAAAGGAGCAGGAAAAGAGGAAGGAUCUCUACAGCCUUUGGUUUUAGAAAAUUUAGAGGUGCCUCUUCAGUCAAAUGAUAAAGACAAAUUCCUUCGUCAAUUGUCUCGCCACUAGCCAUUACAUUAGGAUAUAGUGUGAAUCUCGCAGUUUUUUCUUUUUUUUUUUGCUGUUGCUGUAAAUGGACAACGUUAUAGCCUUAGUAAUACCAUAAGCCAAGUCCAAGAAAGUAAGAGCACCAUUAUCGCGAUUCGUAAUGGGGUCUCUUAAACUAAUUUAAAAAUAAAAAUAAAUAAAAAAUACAUAUUAACAGAAGAACCGUGUCUUAAUUAGAGGAAAGAAGAGUCGUAUAUUCUUGGCCACGUGUUGGCAAAUGAGAGGAGAGAGGAGAGGUGUCUUUGGUUUUUGUCUUUUGGUUUCUUCUCUCUCUCUCGAAACCUCUCUAUGUGCAACGACAAAGGCGAUUCCCUUUUUCUCUGUGGCUUCUCUCCGUCAUCGGCUCUCCCUGUCUCGGUGGCUGUCGUCAGUGAAGGAAAACGCUGAUACUCUCCCUCUCUGUGGGUCUCGUCGACAGAGCGGACCUCUCUCUCUCUGUCUCUCCUCGAAUCGAAGGUAAAGUUAUUGGUGUGUUCUUCAUCUAUGCAUAUCUUUGAUUAUGCUUCUUUUUGUUCUGAUUUGUUUAUCGGUUUGAUUUUGUGUCUCGGUGGCUCUCUUCGGUGACUCUCCUCGACGGCGACAAUGGCUCUCCUCGACGGCGACGAAGGUCUCGGUGGCUCUCAUCGAAUCGAAAGGUCAAGAAGAUUGAAAAAGUGGUCUAAGAAGAUUGUUGUCACAUGUUUAUGUCUUGUAGUGGGAGCAUUGAGAGCUUCUAAUGUCAUAGACAUAAAUACAUUGGUCUUGCGUGUCGUUUGUUGUCACAUGUUUAUGUAUUCUUCUGUACUUUCACUUUCUAUGUCAAGGACUUUUAUGUGUUUGGUCAUGGACUUGUAUGUGUUUGGUCACGGGCUUGUAUGUGUUUGUUAUAUGACUUGUAUGCUGUAUAUAUAUCUUCUCUCUAGACUUGUAAAAACAUCAAACCCAUUCUCCACACGACCAAACUCAUCUUCUUUCUCGAAUUGUAACAACACCAAACUCAUUCUUCUCUCUUUCUCCACAACACCAAAACCAUCUUCUCUCUUUAAUCACUAGUCUUAUAAACUCAUCUUCUCUCUUUAAUCACAACACCAAAGUCAUCUUCUUUCUUUAAUCACAAGUUUUAUAAAGCCAUUUUCUCUCUUUGAUCACAGCACCAAAGCCAUCUUCUAUCUUGGCAUAUGGUUCUGCGGAUGAUACGAUCGACGAAUACCUCCGGCUCAGUGAGACAACAACUCGGUUAUGUGUGGAAAAAUUUAAGGAAGGAAUAAUGUAUUUAUUCGGUGAUGAUUACCUAAGAAGACCAACACCAGCUGACCUUCAACGUCUACUUGAUAUUGGAGAGUAUCGUGGAUUUCCCAGGAUGAUAGGAAACAUCGAUUGUAUGCAUUGGGAGUGGAAGAAUUGUCCCACCACUUGGAAAGAGCAAUAUUCUCGUGGUUCGGGUAAACCAACAAUCGUUUUAGAGAUGAUUUUUUCGUAUAAUUUCUGGAUAUGGCAUGCAUUUUUUGGACUUCCAGGUACCUUAAAUGAUAUCAAUGUUCUUGAUCGCUCACCUGUUUUUGAUGACAUAAUAAAAGGUCAAGCUUCUCAAGUCACUUUCACUGUCAAUGGAAGAGAGUAUCAUAUGGCUUACUAUCUCACCGAUGAAAUUUAUACGAAAUGAGCGACUUUUAUCCAAUCUAUUCCAAUACCACAAGGGCCGAAGGCGGUUUUAUUUGCUCAAUGCCAAGAAGUUGUCCGAAAAUAUGUCGAGCGUACUUUUGGAUUUUACAAGCUCGCUUUGCCUUUGUUUAAAAUCUAACACUAUUUUGGGAUAAAGUCAAAAUUGAGAAGAUUAUGAGAGCAUGUAUCAUACUCCAUAAUAUGAUAGUGAAAGACGAACGAGAUGGAUACACUCAAUUUAAUGUUUCAGAGUUCCAACAAGGAGAAGACACCGGAAGUUCAUAUGUGGAUCUCGAUUUUUCUUCAGAUAUGCCUAUAAAUAUCGCCAAUAUGAUGGGUGUUCGAAUUAGAAUUUGUGAUACAAAAAUGCAUCAUCAACUGAAAGCUGAUUUGGUUGAACAUAUAUGGCGUAAAUUCAGACGUGAUGAAGACAACAACUGAGCUCGGAUGCUUCUUUCAAAUUUUUCUCAUUUAUUUUACUAAUCUUUGUUUUUAUGUUUUUUAUUUAAAAAUCUAUUUUUAAAAUGUUAUGUUUAAUAAUUUAAUCAAUAAAUUUUAAAUUAAUAAAAUAAUGUUUAAUUUUUUUAAAAAAGUCUUUAAAUAAGAGACUUACAAUGGACUACACAAAUUUGCCCGUCUCUUAACCAAGUUUCUUAAUUUCACUUGUCCAACUAAAAGAUAUUAAAAAAUGAUUAAGAACCCUUAAAUGUCUCUUAUGGAUAAUGAUGCUCUAAGAGCACCAACAACGCUUAGUUUCCAACACUAUUUCUAGACUAAUUUUUAUUAAUAUUUUAAUAGCAUUAAGUGACAUAAUUAGUUUUUAUUUUUGUAAUUAUAAUUGGACCAAUAUAAAAUGGACAUGUGUAGAUGUAGUCUCUACAAAACAUUGCAACGUUUCUCUGCAGAGAGAUGACGGUGACACUUUCUACAGUUUCUCUCCAACUUUUUUUUUGAAUUAUUUUUUUGGUUGAAAGACUAUUUUAGAGAUCAUCACUAAUGAUAUAUCUAAAUUCUUAGACUGUAAGGGCAACAUUAUCAAUGGUGGAGGAAAGUUCUUACGUGUGGACCCCACCACCUUUUCCCAAAAACUGUGCCCAAAUGUCCUUGAUUAACAUACGUUUGCGCGCACUGCGUUUGUUACAUUGUUUGCGGGCUCCACUAACGUUUGGGGCCUGCAACUAAUUUAUCUUUUUUUUUUAAUCAGAAAAAGAAAAAGAAAAAAAAAACUUAAGAAUCCCAAAAAGCCUUUCCACCGAUAAUGUUGCCCUAAAAGAUAUAGGAGUUGUAGCUUUUGUUUAGGACCCAUCGUAUAGCUGCUACUCAUGGAUAUAGUAUCCAGUAAGACAACGAACAUUUCCAACCUUUCUGAUUGAAAGAAUUGAACUAUACUAAAUACUAAGUUAAGAUUCGCGCCUUGUGCGGGAUAAACAUUAUAUAUAAAAUUAUUUUAUGUAUUAAAUAUUUUUACAUAUUACGAAAUAAUAAAUAUAUAUUGAAUAAUUAAAAAUCAGUAACUAUUAAAUAUAUAAUUAAAUUGGUGCGAAUAUAUAAAUCAAUUUCAU